rnacentral:rRNA from 1 species
UACAGGGGGUGCAAACGUUGCUCGGAAUCAUUGGGCGUAAAGCGCACGUAGGCGGUUCGUUAUGUCGGAUGUGAAAGCCCUUGGCUUAACCGAGGAAGUGCAUCCGAAACUGGCGAGCUAGAGUACGAAAGAGGAUCGCGGAAUUCCCGGUGUAGAGGUGAAAUUCGUAGAUAUCGGGAGGAACACCGGUGGCGAAGGCGGCGAUCUGGGUCGAUACUGACGCUGAGGCACGAAAGCGUGGGUAGCAAACAGG